GAUGAACGCUAGCGGCAGGCCUAAUACAUGCAAGACGAACGGUAAGUUGAGUAGCAAUACUUAGCCAAGAGUGUCGUACGGGUGCGUAACACGUAUGCAACCUACCCUAUACAGGAGGAUAGCCUAGGGAAACCUGGGUUAACCCUUCAUAGUAUUAUUGGAUGGCAUCAUUUGAUAAUUAAAACUGAGGUGGUAUAGGAUGGGCAUGCGUCUGAUUAGUUAGUUGGCGGGGUAAUGGCCCACCAAGACGAUGAUCAGUAGGGGUUCUGAGAGGAAGAUCCCCCCACACUGGCACUGAGAUACGGGCCAGACUCCUACGGGAGGCAGCAGUAGGGAAUAUUGGUCAAUGGAUGCAAGUCUGAACCAGCCAUGCCGCGUGCAGGAAGAAGGCCUUCUGGGUUGUAAACUGCUUUUGCCAGGGGAUAAAAUUUCCAUGCGUGGAAAACUGAAGGUACCUGGUGAAUAAGCCACGGCUAACUACGUGCCAGCAGCCGCGGUAAU
rnacentral:rRNA from 1 species